rfam:Clostridium sp. CAG:349 genomic scaffold, scf33
CAACAAUUAAGAGGCGCAAAGCUUAUGAGUAACCGCUCCGCAACGGAUUGAAGGGGCGAGGGAAAGGAAGUUUUGCCGAAACGGGAAGUCUUAUCCGGAAGAUUUUGCCGUUGGGUUGCAGGGAAAUACGUUGCAAACUGUCGCAAGGGAACUUGCGGAGCGCUUGAUGUUAA